CCCCUUGGAGCUCCGGAGAGCGAGAACUUACAGCCGCAGAUCUUAAUGUUAAUCUCCCAUAAUAAGAAGCUUCUUCCAAUCGUCACCCAACUCCAUCGACACAUCCAUCUAUUCCUCUCCCCAUCACGUUUAAAUCUAUCAAUGCUAGUCCUUUCAAUUAGUCAACGUGGUUACACAGGUACCUCCACCCGUACAGUUCAGCUCUUCUGUUUACAUUUGCUGCCAGUGUAAUGCAGCCACAGGCGAAGUACCCCGGCAGAAUUUGAAAGGAGACCUCACCUAAUUGAAACAAAAAGAAAAUAAUGAUCUUUCAGUCCGGGAUCUGACUUGUCCAGUGAUAACAUCAGCUGCGAUCCUAAGUUUCUCAUACUGCCUCUUUGCCCUGAGCCAGAAACAUUGGAGAGGAACCCAAAACACUCAAAAACAGGUCAAAAUCAACGUGUUAAAGAAUUGGUAGGAUGAAUUAAAGACAAGGAAAGAAAUGUUGACGGAUCUUCAACAAGUGUGACAACUCUUCCAGGCUACAGGGAUGGAAUGAAAAAUACAUGAAGUCUUAAAGAGAGAUUUUCAAAUUUGCAGCAGAGCCUUACCUGUCAUCUUCAUAAACUAUUACUGAAAAUCUGACACAAGAGGAAAUUCCUUCCAAGCUCAGCGAUACUGCUAUCACCACUGUCUUCAAGGAGACAAAAUGGACAGUGGGAACUACCGAGGAACCCUCCUCCUCUCCAUUGCCAGAAAAAUCACUGCUUGAAUCCUCGUGAGGCAUUAUCUCCAGUUUCUGAGGAAAUCCUUCCUGAAAGCCAGUAUGGCUUCCAUCCAAACCAUGGAACUAUGGAUGUGAUUCUCACUGCCUGGCAACUCCAAGAGAAACACCAGGAAUAUCAAUUAAUCAUUCUGCACGGCUUUCAUUGACCUGACCAAGACCUUUGACUCAGUUAGUUGGAAAAUGCUAUGGAAGAUCCUGUCAAAGGCCCGCUGUCCAGUAAAAUGUAUCAACAUCCAUUUCCUUCACAACAAGGAGUUGGCAAUGAUCAGCACUGAUAGUAAUAGGAUGGAAUCUUCCAGGGAUGUGUUAUUACCCCACCCUUUAAUAUUAACACUUUGCAUAUUUACAUAGAGUCAUACAGCCAGGAAACAGACCUGUCGGUCCAACCAGUCCAAGUAGAACAUCAUACCAAAGUCAACUAGUCCCAUGUGCCUACUCCUGGCCUAUAUCCCUCCAAACUUUUCCUAUUCACGUACCUAUCCAAACAUCUUUUAAACGUAAGAUAAUAAAAUGUGAGGCUGGAUGAACACAGCAGGCCAAGCAGCAUCUCAGGAGCACAAAAGCUGACGUUUCGGGCCUAGACCCUUCAUCAGAGAGUAAACGUUGUAGUUUUACCCACACCCAUCACCUCCUUUUUGCACACGUGAACCACCCUCUCCGAGAAAGAUUUUCCCCUCAUGACUGUUUAAAAAAUCUCUCUUCCUUAAAAAAUAUAUCCCUAGGCUUGACAUACCUCAUCCUAAGGGGAAGACAUCUACCAUUAACUCUCUGUCUCUACCUCCCACUAUUUUAUAAAACUUCUGUCAGGUCGCAUCUUGACCUCCUACGCUCCAGUUAAAAAAACAGUCCCAACCUAUCUUUAUAACUCAAACCUGCCAUAUAACCCUGGUAAAUCUCUUCAGAACCCUCUCCAGCUUAAUAAUAUCCUUUCUACAACUAGACACAGUAUUCCAAAAAAAGUGGCCUCACCAAUGUCCUGCACAAUCUCAACAUGACUUCCCAACUCCUAUAUUCAAAAGAACUGAGCAACGAAGGCAAGCAUGCCAAAAUACCUUUUUACCUUGUCUACAUGUGAUGCAAACUUCAAAGAAUUAUGUACCUGCAACCCUAAGUCCUUCUGUUCUACAACACGAUCCAAGACCCUAUCACUAACUGUAUGAGCCCUGCCCCUGUCUGUUAUACCAAAAUGCAACACCUCACAUUUAUCCAGAUUGAACUCCAUCUGCCAUUUUAAGCCCAAUGACACAUUUGAUCAAGAUUCCUUUGUAAUCUUAGAAAACCUUCUUCACUGUUUACUUUGCCACCAGUUUUGGUGUCAUCUGCAAACUUAUUAAUUAUGCCUUCUGUAUUCUCAUCCAAAUCAUUUAUAAAAGUGACAGAGGACCCAGAACCAAUCCCUAUGGAACACCACAGGUGGCAGACCUCCAGUCCAAAAAGUAACACUCCACUCUUUUAAAAACAAAGAGGCGUAAACAUAAAACAAAACCCAAGACCCUCCAACACUGCCCUCGACAGAUACUUCUGGGAUAGGGUCAACACUAGGUGAAACAGAGCAAAGCUCUUGAAACAGAAAAUAAAGCUGCCUUGACUUUAUUUUCACUUAACAAAGACACAUUACUUUAGGAAAAAACAAGCAAAAAACACAAAUGGCUCUACAUUCACUCUGUCCCACCAACUUUUUGAUCCCCCAGGGGUUCAAAAUAAAAAAUCUCAAACAAAGUCACAGAAAAUAAGUAAUGAAACAAACAAAUAACCAACUAAAUAAAUCAAUCCCCUUUGCUCCAUUCCCAUCGAACACUCCUAGGACAUGGACAACAAUGGUUUAAGAUCCAGACGAAGUUCACCUGCUAAUUUCAACUAAAGGUAAAAUUUGUCUCACACUAAACCUCAUGAAGCGCAUUUCAGUCAGGGCCAGUACAGGGUUAAAAAUACAGGCCCCUUUAGCAUUAUCCAAGGCACUAAACUGAAAACAAACAAUUCCAAAAGGCAAAAUGGAAACUUAUACUACAGAGACAAUUAACUAAAUCAGACUAUCAUUAUUCAGGCUGAUAAUUCACUCCAAUCCCAAUGGUGCCUAGCAGUCUCAAAAGGCCUUGACCAUGACAGUGAACACUGCGUGCACCCUCUCCAGAGACACCCAAGCAUGGACGUAACCACAAAGAGGGCAGACAGUCAGGAAUGAGCCCCUCUUUGGCCUGCUGAUGGCCAUCCUGGCCAGGCCCAGGAGCAAAGCCAUGAGAGGGUAUACAGACUUGUCCACCCCUCGCCGCAGUGCGGGGCUGAAGUGCAACCAAAGUUUUAACAGCAACCCCUUCAAAAAACCUAGAGGGACUACAGAUGAAUGCACUUGACAUAUCAGUGGAAUACCAUCACCUCCAGGCCACAGAACAUGCCUGUGGACACACAUCCAGUAAACUUGCUCAGUUGUCAACUGCACGGAAGCACCACGUGCAGAACCCUUCACCCCAGAGGGGAUGAUCCCUUCGCAGAGGGCCCUCCACCGGGGAUCUCCACUGCUGGAAGGCAAAAUGUUAUCUCGAGGCAUGUCUGGAACGUAGAACAUAACAGCACAGUACAGGCCCUUGAUGUUGUGCCAACCUGUCAUACCAAUCUCAAGCCCAUCUAACCUACACUAUUCCAUGUACGUCCAUAUGCUUAUCCAAUGACGUCUUAAAUGUACUUAAAGUUGGCGAAUCUACUACCGUUGCAGGCAAAGCG